AGAAAUACCUGUUCUCGUGCGAUCGUCCAAGUUAAGCAACGUCGAGCCUAGUCAAUACCUAGAUGGGUGACCGCUUGGGAAGAAAUCGUGCUGUAAU